ACCUCUCAAAGACAAAUAUCUUAAUGUGAUAUUUUAAAAUUUGGUAUAGAUUUUUUAAGUAUUUAAAUCGCAAAGACUUGUAGAGGCAAAUGUCUCUGUUAGAGAAAUUGUUAAUAAUAUAUAAAUUAAGUAAGGUAAGGAAAAAAGGUAAGGUUAAAAAUGGCCCUUGAUGGACUGAGGUAGGUUUUUUCUUCAGGUAGGACAAAAGGUAAUAAAGUUUUAAAAUUUACAAUAUCAAUGUAUUAUUAUUUGUCUUUAAGGGUCGCCUUGAAAACACAUAAUGAUUAUAAUUCGUUUUAGAUAUUCGAAAAACUAGACAUGAAUGGUACAAAGUUUAAAUAAUUAUUGAGUUCAUUUAUUUCCUUUUCCCUAAAAAUUUUAUAGAUCUUUAGAUAAGAAUUACAGCCUAGAUGACGCAAAUCCAAGGUUCAAAAAAAGAAAAGAUCAAAGGGAUCGCGGAGUUUCUGUUUCUGAAAAUAAAAAAAAAUCAAUAUAGAAUAAUGACUAUGACUCAAACUGAAUACUUUUAUCAGGGAUUUAAAUUUGUAAAUAUUGUUCGAUUGAGGUUAUUACGUUAGGUUUUCCAUUGAACCAUAAGUGAAUGCUGAAAAAUAUCUUAGAACAAAUCAAGAAUCCCUAACGAUUGAGAAUUUGAUUAAAUACGAUGUUUUAAUCAAAUUGUUGAAUUCUCUGAAACUUUAAAUUCACCGAAUGUCGGGACGACAAUCUUCAUUGAGUGGAGAGUAGUGUUACGACUAUGAAACUAGCCAUAUUCCCUGUUUCCAUGAGAUAGACAAAGACAGACACUUAGACUGAAUAAUAACAGAUGACGACCACAACAGAUAUAAACAUUAGAAUGUCUUAAAAUAAACGUGAGAUAAUGAAGAUCUAUCAUAAAAAUAACAACAUUAUCUUUAUCUUUUAUGCUCAUGCGUAACAAUAUCAUUAUAGUUCGUGUAUGGCUGAGGGUGAUUUAUUUGGGUCGCGUUUACUUAUAAAAUAUUCCGUCUAUUUACUGUAUCAAUCUCACUAGUGUAUUGAAUAAAUCAAUUUGUCUGUGAACGAAAUAUUGAAAUUUUUUUUUUUUUUUUUUAAUUUAUCUCAAUUUUUUGUGGUCAGUUUUGGAUCAAGCAUCCUGACUUAUUCUUGACCAGGUAUGUACUGUGGUCAGGUACCCGGACCAUGUUCGAAAGAAUUCGAAUGCGAACUCUUAUGAAGAGCUUUCAGAGACUAUUUGCUCUAUAAUAUAGUGUCUUUAUUACAAAGGCAAUCAUCUCUGACUCAGAGGCUGCAGCUGGAAAUUUUUUAGAGGUUGACAGAAAAAAUUGUCGAUAAUCGCGAAGUUUUUAGCAGCCUCUAAACUGACUCUAAUUUGGCCAGAAUAGAGACAGUUGUAGAGGCUACUGAGUUUUUGAAUGUUUUUUACAGAGAUAGAAAUUUUAUCUCGGGUUGUGAGGUUGUCGUCUGGCAGCCGUUCCCAUUGACACUCAGACCCCGUUGGCCCUCAUUUUUAUUGUACGGAGGCUUUAUUCGGAAAUAGAGUACAUGAGAUUAUGAGAAGAACUGCGCCUUUGGAUAAACAGAGCACUGGGGUAUUUUCGUUUAUUAACAAAUUUUUUUUCGCCUUGCAAUACCGGCAAAAUUACCUUAAGAAUAAGCUGUUUCUUGAAGUGCAACAAUGGCAAAAAUUCCGAUAAUGGCUGUAUCGUAUUUUUGGCUACUCGGGAAAAAACGUUUUUAUAUAAAUAUAUAUAAUUAUAAAUUACAUUAUUAAAUUAUUAGUAUCAUCUCAGGAAAAAAAACUAUCUAUAUCUAUACUGUCAACGGUAUAUACUAGAAGUUGAAAUCUUGAAUAUAUUCAACGAUAUUCGAGUAUUCGGGAAAAUUUUUUGGAUAUACCUGGCUGACGGCGAUACGGAUCCCGCCUGAUCUGGGAAACAGAUCCAGGAGAUCCAGACAUAUCCAGAAAAUUUGUUUCCUUAGUAUUCAAAUAUCGUUCAAGAUUUUAACUUUUAGAACAGAUCAUUGACUGUAGAUAUGAAGUUUGGACUUCAAUGAAAAAAAAAUAAAAAAAAUCAUUCGACGAAAAUCGUUUAUCAACAAUUGCAUACCACCUCGAACAACGAAUAUUGUUGAAUAAUCUUUUUUUUAUUCUUCAAAAAUUGUCGUGAGUUUGUUCGAAUUAAUGAAAGCAGGAUUCGUACUUCAAUAAUAUUUUUUAAAAAAUAAUAGGUUCACAUGACCACUGCACUGAGAGAAUUUUCACCGGAAUAUCACGUGGGAAUACUAAAGUGACGGAACCGUUGAGUGUUGACGUACAACGUGAUUUUCAAAGUAAAAUACUAAAAAAGUUUCGGUAGAACCACUUGAUUUUCUGAAAUUUAUCAUUGGAUUCUUCACCAUGGCUUUUUCAUGUGAAUAAUCCUGUGAGGGAAAAGCAGCAGCUAAGGAAAAGAUGUAGCUAAGGAAUUGAGGUUGCCAUAAAAUUAUGUUUGAAAAAAAUAAUGUUGCUUAAAAUAUACACUGAAAAAACGUUCCCGCUGCAGGCACGGUACGUUCCUGUCUCCGUAGCAUGGUAGAAGUACUACAGGUAUGGCAGUAGUCCAUGCUUUUUUCGUCGCGUUCUGCGCAGCCUUAUUUUUUCAACCAAUCAAGAACGCGCCAUCGAGCUGUUUUGCUUUUCUUUCUAACACGCAAUCUCUAUUAUAAGAUCCUUUCUCUCUAACAUACUGUUUUGACAACUAUUUUUUAUAUUGUUGUAAAUACUAAUAAAUAUAUGUGGAGCAUGUUUAUAAAAAAUAAAAAAAAUAAAAAAACCAAGACAGUUUAACAAAUAAAUUAUAAUAUUUUCA